CCAGCAGCUGCGGUAAUUCCAGCUCCAAUAGCGUAUACUAAAGUUGUUGCAGUUAAAAAGCUCGUAGUUGAAUUUCUGGUCGUGGCGAUCGGUCCGCCCCUCACGGGGUGUGUACCUGGUCACUACGUCCAUCCUCGGGGAGAGCAUAUCUGGCAUUUAGUUGUCGGGUGUGGGAUCCUCGUCAUUUACUGUGAGCAAAAUAGAGUGUUCAAAGCAGGCUUAGGCCGUUGAAUACAUUAGCAUGGAAUAAUAAGAUAGGACCUUGGUCUAUUUUGUUGGUUUGCAUUCCAAGGUAAUGAUUAAUAGGGACAGUUGGGGGUAUUCGUAUUCAAUUGUCAGAGGUGAAAUUC
rnacentral:rRNA from 1 species